rnacentral:rRNA from 1 species
AUUGAACGCUGGCGGCAGGCCUAACACAUGCAAGUCGAACGAGUGGCGGACGGGUGAGUAAUGUCUGGGAAACUUCCUGAUGGGGGGGGAUAACUACUGGAAACGGUCGCUAAUACCGCAUACCCUCGGAUGUGCCCAGAUGGGAUGAGCUAGUAGGUGGGGUAAAGGCUCACCUAGGCGACGAUCCCUAGCUGGUCUGAGAGGAUGACCAGCCAAACUGGAACUGAGCAACGGUCCAGACUCCUACGGGAGGAAGCAGUGGGGAAUAUUGCACAAUGGGCGCAAGCCGGAUGCAGCCAUGCCGGGGGUAGGAAGAAGGCCUUAGGGUUGUAAAGUACUUGCAGCGGGGAGGCGUUACCCGCAGAAGAAGCACCGGCUAACUCCGUGCCAGCAGCCGCGGUAAUUC